AAAGCAGACUUUGACAAGAUUUUGUUCCUUGCCAUACACCUUUCAAAGACAUUUUCAUCUAGUUAUUCAGAG
ensembl:misc_RNA